ACACAUGCAAGUCGAACGGAAGCAAAGAUUUCGGUUUUUGCUUUAGUGGCGAACGGGUGAGUAACGCGUGAGGAACCUGCCUUUCAGUGGGGGACAACAGUUGGAAACGACUGCUAAUACCGCAUAAUGCUUUUGAGUGGCAUCACUUAAAAGCCAAAGAUUUAUUGCUGAAAGAUGGCCUCGCGUCUGAUUAGCUAGUUGGCGGGGUAACGGCCCACCAAGGCGACGAUCAGUAGCCGGUCUGAGAGGAUGAACGGCCACAUUGGGACUGAGAUACGGCCCAGACUCCUACGGGAGGCAGCAGUGGGGAAUAUUGGGCAAUGGGGGAAACCCUGACCCAGCAACGCCGCGUGAAGGAAGAAGGCCUUCGGGUUGUAAACUUCUUUUACCAGGGGCGAAAGAAAUGACGGUACCUGGAGAAAAAGCAACGGCUAACUACGUGCCAGCAGCCGCGGUAAUACGUAGGUUGCGAGCGUUGUCCGGAUUUACUGGGUGUAAAGGGCGUGUAGGCGGAGAUGCAAGUUGGGAGUGAAAUCCAUGGGCUCAACCCAUGAACUGCUUCCAAAGCUGUAUCCCUUGAGUAUCGGAGAGGCAAGCGGAAUUCCUAGUGUAGCGGUGAAAUGCGUAGAUAUUAGGAGGAACACCAGUGGCGAAGGCGGCUUGCUGGACGACAACUGACGCUGAGGCGCGAAAGCGUGGGGAGCAAACAGGAUUAGAUACCCUGGUAGUCCACGCUGUAAACGAUGAAUACUAGGUGUGGGAGGACUGACCCCUUCCGUGCCGCAGUUAACACAAUAAGUGUUCCACCUGGGGAGUACGACCGCA
rnacentral:rRNA from 1 species